rnacentral:rRNA from 1 species
GAUGAACGCUGGCGGCGUGCCUAAUACAUGCAAGUCGAGCGAACAGACGAGGAGCUUGCUCCCCUGACGUUAGCGGCGGACGGGUGAGUAACACGUGGAUAACCUACCUAUAAGACUGGGAUAACUUCGGGAAACUGGAGCUAAUACCGGAUAAUAUAUUGAACCGCAUGGUUCAAUAGUGAAAGACGGUUUUGCUGUCACUUAUAGAUGGAUCCGCGCCGCAUUAGCUAGUUGGUAAGGUAACGGCUUACCAAGGCAACGAUGCGUAGCCGACCUGAGAGGGUGAUCGGCCACACUGGAACUGAGACACGGUCCAGACUCCUACGGGAGGCAGCAGUAGGGAAUCUUCCGCAAUGGGCGAAAGCCUGACGGAGCAACGCCGCGUGAGUGAUGAAGGUCUUCGGAUCGUAAAACUCUGUUAUUAGGGAAGAACAAAUGUGUAAGUAACUAUGCACGUCUUGACGGUACCUAAUCAGAAAGCCACGGCUAACUACGUG